rnacentral:rRNA from 1 species
ACUCCUACGGGAGGCAGCAGUGGGGAAUAUUGCACAAUGGGCGCAAGCCUGAUGCAGCCAUGCCGCGUGUGUGAAGAAGGCCUUCGGUUGUAAAGCACUUUCAGCAGUGAGGAAGGCGGAGUCGUUAAUAGCGGCCUCGUUUGACGUUAGCUGCAGAAGAAGCACCGGCUAACUCCGUGCCAGCAGCCGCGGUAAUACGGAGGGGUGCGAGCGUUAAUCGGAAUUACUGGGCGUAAAGCGCAUGCAGGUGGUUUGUUAAGUCAGAUGUGAAAGCCCGGGGCUCAACCUCGGAAUAGCAUUUGAAACUGGCAGACUAGAGUACUGUAGAGGGGGUAGAAUUUCAGGUGUAGCGGUGAAAUGCGUAGAGAUCUGAAGGAAUACCGGUGGCGAAGGCGGCCCCCUGGACAGAUACUGACACUCAGAUGCGAAAGCGUGGGGAGCAAACAGGAUUAGAUACCCUGGUAGGAUAGCG